rnacentral:rRNA from 1 species
AUUGAACGCUGGCGGCAGGCCUAACACAUGCAAGUCGAGCGAGCGGCGGACGGGUGCGUAAUGUCUGGGAAACUGCCUGAUGGAGGGGGAUAACUACUGGAAACGGUAGCUAAUACCGCAUACCCUCAGAUGUGCCCAGAUGGGAUUAGCGAGUAGGUGGGGUAACGGCUCACCUAGGCGACGAUCCCUAGCUGGUCUGAGAGGAUGACCAGACACGCAGAAACGGAGCCACGGGCCAGACUCCUACAGGAGGCAGCAGUGGGGAAUAUUGCACAAUGGGCGCAAGCCUGAUGCAGCCAUGCCGCGUGGGUGAAGAAGGCCUUCGGGUUGUAAAGCACUUUCAGCGGGUAGGCGUUACCCGCAGAAGAAGCACCGGCUAACUCCGUGCCAGCAGCCGCGGUAAUAC